rnacentral:rRNA from 1 species
AGAUUGAACGCUGGCGGCAUGCCUUACACAUGCAAGUCGAACGGCAGCACGGGGGCAACCCUGGUGGCGAGUGGCGAACGGGUGAGUAACAUAUCGGAACGUGCCCUGGAGUGGGGGAUAACUAGUCGAAAGAUUAGCUAAUACCGCAUACGAUCUACGGAUGAAAGUGGGGGAUCGACAAGACCUCAUGCUCGUGGAGCGGCCGAUAUCUGAUUUAGCUUAGGUUGGUGGGGUUAAAGGCCUACCAAGGCGACGAUCCGUAGCUGGUCUGAGAGGACGACCAGCCACACUGGAACUGAGUACCACGGUCCAGACUCCGUACGGGAGGCAGCAGUGGGAAUUUGGACAAGUGGGCGCAAGCGUGAUCCAGCCAUUCGCGUGAGUGAAGAGGCCGUUAGGUGUAAGUCGUACGUUCGGACGGAAGA